rnacentral:rRNA from 1 species
AUGUUUUCUUCGCAGGAAGGUUCGCAGGAAGAGGACGCGGCCGACUUCUCUUUCAAGGAUGGUAACAGGCUGUGCUCUCUUUUUCUGCGGCAGCAAGGUCUCAUCAAGAAAAAGCGAAGAUGGCUGGCCUCGCUGAAUCCCGAAUUAGGUGUCCCCUUCAAACUUAAGCGACCAAAGUUUCUGAAAGUCGUCUACUUGGCUGAAUCGGAUGUCAGGACUGAUGAAGUGUCCAGCGAGAAAGUAAGAUGUAACAUCGAAGAAAGUUUUGGUUUGCAAAGCAAGUGUUACAUUCAUCAUGUAGUUCUGGAUGGUCUUGAGCUUUUUAAGUUGCAAAAACAGAAGGAUGGCUCUCUCUGUCCAGAAAGCUUGAAGACCAUGCACUGUACAAUCAGCAAAUUAAGCAAUGGGGCACUUGAGUCAGUGGCUAAUAUUGUCGCCCACAAUGGGAUUAGUUUCAGGAAGAUUAGGCCUACAAUGAUGAAAAUCGUGAAGGACCACCUUCCAAAAUACUUGGCUGAGUUGGACAGUGAAAGUGGUAUGCGAUUGUCUGAAAUUUUAACAAAUCCAUGCAGCUACCGUUCUAAUUCUGUCUGUCUUAGAACACCUGUUUCACCAAUGCUUCUGUCAUCUAUUGACCAAGCUUUAGCUGGGCUGGAUGAAAUUCCCCAGCAAGCUGCUAUUGCAAUCAAUAGAAAGCUCUCAGGAAAAUCAUGCCCCCCAGAAUUUCUGCAUGUAGCUCGAACUUCCAGCAGAAGCCAUCUUAUUAAUUUGAUAAGGAAAAGAUGUGGAAAUAUGAUAGCAAAGCUGCAGGAAGGCAAUGAUCUUCCAGAGAACUUUGCAAAAGCAUUGUCAGUGAUGAACCUAUAUCGGAAACUCACACUAAAGAGCAUGGCUAUUUCACAGUCAGAGUUCUUUCCCUUUCCACGUGCGACUAUAUCAUCGCAGCAAGAUAUCCUGAAUGCUCUAUGGUCACUUCCAAACGUCGAUACUGAUGAUAUGAAGUUGCUGCGUCGCAUUAUGGGCCAAGGUUCUCAAGUGAAGAUGGCAUCAUUCAAAGCAGCUGUGAGGAGGUACUUGACAGAAUGCUUGUUUGAGUGUGAUGAUGGUAAUUUACCGGAUUUGGCAGUACGUGCCAUUGGUUUCUUAGCUCAAAUGUCUCCUAAAUGUCAACAAGCUAUUCUCACUGAAGAGAGAAAGGAAGUGGAAGUAGAUGCUGUCUUGGAUUUAAGCAGUUGCCUCAGAUCUUUGGUACGUGGUGCCACUGAAGAAAACUCGAGCGAUGACGAAGUUAGCUUAGAGAGUGACAGGUGCAGUGAAGAUAAUGAUUUUGUACUCACCACGAGCAACUACUUUGAUAUUCGUUCUGAGCAACGCAUGGAUGAGGGCUGCUGUUCAAAUUUCAUGAUCAAUAGCACUGAAGAUUCUGAGUACACUGCUGGUGCUGGACAUUAUGGAGACAGUGGUGCUGCUGGCAGUACGAUGGAUCCUAGUUCGGAGAAGGACAAUGUGGAGAUGACUAGAUGCUCUGCAGAAGAUCUCUCUGCAUUAUGUGAUGACACUGCAAGUAUUGCACAUGAGCUUAUUGGGCACAUUCUUAAAAACAUGUUGACUGAAGACGAGGGGAUUGAUGAACUUACCGGAUGUUAUCUUGGAGGCAGUUCUAAUUCUCAAGAUCCUCAAGAUCCUGAAGCGGAGAACCAAAAAGGCGACAUUGUGAUAAAUGCUGUCCAGAGUCUCUUACCUAAUCUGCCGAAAAGCUCCAUCGACAAAGUUAGGAGCAUACUGGAUGGUGCGGAGCAGUGA